AUAUCCAAUCUGCAGUAUUACGCCGAGAAUGGAUACGGGUAAGUUAGAUCGGUUGAUGUUUUUUUACGGAUUUGGACAGUCAGUUUUCACAUUCAAAGAUUCGCUGUAGAUCGGAGAUUUUCAACGAAACAAAGUGGAACGAGUGGGUGGUGUUGUCGGCGGCGACGGCUCUUCCGGCGAGUUUAGAAUUGUACAACGACCUGAAAAGUUUGGGGUUUAAGAUAAUGAUACUGACUGGGAGAGGAGAAGGGCAGAGGGAGUUGACACAGAAGAAUCUCAAUAACGCAGGAUACAGUGGCUGGGAAAAGCUCAUCUUGAGGUAUCAAUUUAUCAUGCAUCAUCUCUUCCAUUUUCUCUUGAUUAAUGUCAUGGCCCGAUGACCGAUUUGUUUAUUUCCGGCAGGGGCGAAGGAGACGGUGGCAAAACCGCCGUGAUGUACAAAUCGGAGAAACGAGCAAUGCUGGAAUCGGAAGGAUACACGAUUCAUGGAAGCUCUGGAGAUCAGUGGAGUGAUUUGUCUGGUUCACCCACUGCUAAACGUUCUUUUAAGCUUCCCAAUCCAAUGUACUACAUUGCUUGAUUGGAAUAAUUGCGUGAUAUUACCGAUGAUUUCUAUGAAUAAUUUUUUUAUAUGAUUCUGGACUUAUAUAAAAAAUACCCAAAUUUUAAUAAAAUAAUAGUUUAUCCACUACAGUUGGAAUUGCCAUAAGAUGAUAAGAUGUCCAAUGUGUGUCAUUUUCAAUAUGUUGGAAUUAUAUGUAUUAUUUUGAUCUUAUAUUCUCUAACGUCACAGUCUGGUCAAUUUUGACGGCAGAACGGUUAUUUCACAUUAAUCGCGAGGUCAAUUUUGGGAAAAAAAAUCAAGGCUAUUAUUAAUCCAAUUAUUGUCCAAUAACCACGGACGCGGGGACGCUACAUAAGUGGUUAUAAACACCAUCAAUCAUAAGCUGUCUUUGCCAGUGAUCAUUGAUAACACGUUGUUCGAAAUGGGAUUUCUUUAUCCACUCGUCAUCCUCUCAAUCCUCCUCAUCUUCUUCCCCUUUGAUUCUUCUUCCCGUCGCACGCUCUUCUUCCACGGAGGCAGCACCACCACCACCACCACCACCAGCACCGAUGCCUACUGCAACAGCUGGAUGUAUUCAGUUGAGACCAACAAUAUCGGCGAUUGGCCCACCAUUCCGAUCAUCUGUCAAUCAUUUGUGGCGGGUUACAUGAACGGUACUCGGUAUCUCUCUGAUUCCAAGGUCGUAGCGUCUUACUCCCUCGCUUUCGCCAAGGACGCGUUCACCGGAGGCGGAAAAGAUGCUUGGAUCUUCGAUGUUGACGAGACUUUGAUAUCCAAUCUGCACUAUUACGCCGAGAAUGGAUAUGGGUAAGUCAUAUAGAUAAUAGGUUGAUGUUUUUUACGGAUUUGGACAAUCAGUUUUUACAUUCAAAGAUUCGUUGUAGAUCGGAGAUUUUCAACGAAACAAAGUGGAACGAGUGGGUGUUGUUGUCGGCGGCGACGGCUCUUCCGGCGAGUUUAGAAUUGUACAACAACCUGAAAAGUUUGGGGUUUAAGAUAAUGAUACUGACUGGGAGAGGAGAGGAGCAGAGGGAGAUCACGCAGAAGAAUCUCAAUAGGGCAGGAUACAGUGGCUGGGAAAAAUUCAUCUUGAGGUAUCAAUUUAUCAUGCAUCAUCGAUCUCUUCCAUUUUCUCUUGAUUAAUAUCAUGGCCCGAUGACCGAUUUGUCUUUUUCCGGUAGGGGC
rnacentral:lncRNA from 1 species